CCCCCCUUCCGAGAGAGAUAUAGAGCUGGCCUUCGAUCCCUCAUCGCACGCGGUGGAGACGGCCGGAUGAGAUGAAUCCCCGGGGGAAGAGGAUGGAUGUGGACAGCUAGAGAUGCUCACGAACGGAAGGAUGAAGCUGUGGAUCCGAAAGAAUCGGACGCGGAGGAUGCUUCGCGGGAUGCUAGGAGGCGCCAUGGGAUUCAGAUGACUGCGAAUCCAGAAGAGGUUGAUGGUAGAGGAAGCUGGGACUCGUGAGAUGAAGGGAAUGAGCGGAU
rnacentral:lncRNA from 1 species